rnacentral:rRNA from 1 species
AACGAACGCUGGCGGCAGGCUUAACACAUGCAAGUCGAACGCGUGUAGCAAUACACGAGUGGCGCACGGGUGAGUAACGCGUGGAUAUCUGCCUUUUGGUUCGGAAUAACCCCGGGAAACUGGGGCUAAUACCGGAUGGUUCCUUCGGGAUAAAGAUUUAUCGCCAAAAGAUGAGUCCGCGUCCGAUUAGCUAGUUGGUGAGGUAACGGCUCACCAAGGCGACGAUCGGUAGCUGGUCUGAGAGGACGAUCAGCCACACUGGGACUGAGACACGGCCCAGACUCCUACGGGAGGCAGCAGUGGGGAAUAUUGGACAAUGGGGGCAACCCUGAUCCAGCCAUGCCGCGUGAGUGAUGAAGGCCUUCGGGUUGUAAAGCUCUUUUGGCGGGGACGAUGAUGACGGUACCCGCAGAAUAAGCCCCGGCUAACUUCGUGCCAGCCGCCGCGGUAACAC